rnacentral:lncRNA from 1 species
AUGUUGAAUACCCAGUAAAAAUAAGCAACGGCAAAUCUAGGGGAUUUUUGUUAUUGUAUGAUGUAGUUGGAAACAAUGUUAUAUAAGUGUCAGAUGUCAACUGUAAGCAAAAAUAAGUGUCAAAGAAAAAAUAAAUGUUGAUUUUGAUGUUUAAGUUAUUUGUAGAAUUAUUGAUUUUCUUUUAAAAUAAAACUGACUAGAAGUA